GAUGAUAAUGACAGUAGCAGGUAAAGAAACCCCGGCUAACUCCGUGCCAGCAGCCGCGGUAAUACGGAGGGGGUUAGCGUUGUUCGGAAUUACUGGGCGUAAAGCGCGCGUAGGCGGACUAGUCAGUCAGAGGUGAAAUCCCAGGGCUCAACCCUGGAACUGCCUUUGAUACUGCUAGUCUUGAGUUCGAGAGAGGUAAGUGGAAUUCCGAGUGUAGAGGUGAAAUUCGUAGAUAUUCGGAGGAACACCAGUGGCGAAGGCGACUUACUGGCUCGAUACUGACGCUGAGGUGCGAAAGUGUGGGGAGCAAACAGGAUUAGAUACCCUGGUAGUCCACACCGUAAACGAUGAAUGCCAGUCGUCGGCAAGCAUGCUUGUCGGUGACACACCUAACGGAUUAAGCAUUCCGCCUGGGGAGUACGGUCGCAAGAUUAAAACUC
rnacentral:rRNA from 1 species